GCAGCAGAGAAGCAGCAGCAGCGAAGCAGCAGCAGCAGCAGUUGCAGCAGCAAACCCCCUGGCUUCCCUGUCUAUGUUGGGGAGGCAGAGGACAACCACAUAGGUGACCAGUAUGUCUGCCUAGUCAUCCAGACAGCUCAUGACUAGCUCACACAGCAACAUCUGAGGCUGCACACUGGUGGAGCUGCUGGUUUUCAAGAAGUUAACUCCUCUCAAUGGAAUCAAGUUCCUAAGCUUCCUCUCCCUGUACUGGCCAGGUGAAGACCCACUGCUGCAGGACAUUGUGGUGUAGCGAAGAUCUGUACAGCCAUCCCGUCUAUGCCAGCCAGCCCUGAAGGUGGCUUGCUAGCAUUUCAGCACCACCAGCCUUUGUCCAUGUCUGGGCAAGGCAGUUCUUGGCCCGCAACCCAUCUUCUCACCAUAGCAUUCUGUUUUGUCUGCCCACUGGUAGGAGAUGGGGAACCAGCUCUGACACUAGUUUGCCAUGGGGAAGGUCCAAUUCUUCCUGUCCCUGGCUCUCAGCUCCUGGGAUUCUCAGGAGCAAAAUUAUCUGAGAGAAACAAGAGUCAAUGUUAGCCCUGAA